UACAGAGGUCUCAAGCGUUGUUCGGAUUCAUUGGGCGUAAAGGGUGCGUAGGUGGCGCGGUAAGUCGGGUGUGAAAUCUCGGGGCUUAACUCCGAAACUGCAUUCGAUACUGCCGUGCUUGAGGACUGGGAGAGGAGACUGGAAUUUACGGUGUAGCAGUGAAAUGCGUAGAUAUCGUAAGGAAGACCAGUGGCGAAGGCGGGUCUCUGGACAGUUCCUGACACUGAGGCACGAAGGCCAGGGGAGCAAACGGG
rnacentral:rRNA from 1 species